rnacentral:lncRNA from 1 species
GAUUAGAAGAUGAUGAUUCAGUUGAUAAUAUAUUAAAAAUCUCUUUCUAAUUAUCAUCCUACUUUGGCCAAAGACUUUCAGAAUCAUCGACUUAUGAGAUCAUAUAGGAUGUUCGCUCCUCUUAUUAGGAGUGACUGAUCCCUUAUUGAUUACUCAUAAUCUUUAUGCAUACUUCACCACAUCUAGAACAUCCCAUGCAA